GCCGGGGUGGCGGAACUGGUAGACGCGCCGGUCUCAAAAACCGGUCUCACUUGUGAGGUGUCGGUUCGAUUCCGACCCUCGGCA
rnacentral:tRNA from 1 species